UUUUUUUUUUUUUUCGCAAUGAAGAGUAUGGUGGUGUGUGGAAUGGUGCCAGGUACCUCAAGUCAACAGCAGUGGGUUAAAAAAAGAGCUACAGUACUUGUCUUCCGGAUGUAGCACAGGAGCAUUUUCAUCAGCGAUAGACACAUCAAUGUAAACAUGAAUGCUCUGCAUCUGCAACAAUCAAGUCCAAAGAAAAAGACAAAAGAAUUGUGUAGGACUGCAGCACCUCUCGGGUAAGCCAAGGGAGGACCUGUUGAGCGCGCUGACUAUCUUUAAUGCUCACCUGAAGUUUAGGAUGUUUCUUGUUAAAGAUCAUAUUUGCAGAUGCUGCUGUUUCUUUGUUACUGCCAUCACUACAUGCAGGGUAGCCUGUGCUCAAUGUAACUUCAGGAAGAGGGACUUGGAAACCUGGCCAAAUAAUCAAACCAUGUUGACUGACACAACUUGAUUCUGAAGAGCACUGGAUCUUCAUACUGUCUUGCUGGCCCCUUCGACAUUUAGGAAUUCAAGAGGAGUAAUUACUAUGAGGAUACUUCAACAGGAUCUGUUUUUUAUGGUGGAGCUUUGACAAGCAGCUCUGGUCUCCCUAGUACUCUGACUACGAAUAUCUGUUGGAACUCAUGAGCCUUCAUGAGCAGCUGUCUGAUCACUGUUGCAUGUAGUUCAGUCACUUCUGCUGUAUGAAACUUGUUGGAUGAUUGGAAUUCCAAUUUGUGAAUCAUGGUUGAAGGAAGUUUGACUCUGAGACUGAUGAUAUCAAGAUGUUCCAAAUGUAUUUCUGUCGGGACCGCAAACUUGAACAAGUUGGCAAGAGAACCUACAAUCAAGAUUACUGCAUGUGUCUUACCUUGCCAAUAUCAAUGUAUUUUAUACUCCCUGCAUUAUUAAAACUCAAAAUACAA